GCCCGUAUAGCUCAGUGGUAGAGCGCAUCACUCGUAUUUCAUGUGAAAUGAUGAGGUCCGCGGUUCAAUCCCGCGUGGGGGCA